rnacentral:ncRNA from 2 species
ACAGACAAGUGAAUAUUAGUUCAUAUAAUAGCAGAGAUAAGGUCUGCAAGUUUCUACCGGGCUGCCGUAAAAUUGUCCGACUAUGAGCGAAAGUGUACCUAGG